rnacentral:lncRNA from 1 species
ACCACACUGACUUCCACAAUGGUUGAACUAGUUUAUAGUCCCACCAACAGUGUAAAAGUAUUCCUAGUUCUCCACAUCCUCUCCAGCACCUGUUGUUUCCUGACUUUUUAAUGAUCGCCAUUCUAACUGGUGUGAGAUGGUAUCUCAUUGUAAAUACACACAUAUUUUAAGAUUACCACAACUAAUGAAAUGUAAGGCUCAUUGCCUUACGUUUGUGUUUAACACUGUGUCUAACUAGGGGCAUCUCCAACUUUUCUAAACAUUUGCAGACAGCCGUGUUCGUGCACAGGUAAUUGCUCAUCUCAGAACAGUGCCCCUGAGCCAACUGGAGCAAGGACUUAGUGCCUUUUAGAAAGGAUUCAAGGUCAUGGCUUAUCACAGAUGCCCUGCUAAUGAACAUCUUACAGAUCAUCCUAGGAUGCAAGAAAAACAAUCUCUCAAAAUUUCAGAGGGACCACUGGAAAUCAGCCAUUUGGGAGUUUGGGUUGAACUGACUGUUUCUUCAAUGAGCCAACUACUGUACAUUCAGCCUAAAACCGUUAGAUGGUGAGGAGUAAACAUGUCCAUUCCUGGGGUCCUCAUUCCACGCCAUGCCAGCCACGAUUGUGCUUGUGCACUCAGGAAAGAAAGGCUAUGGCUGUUUCUUAAGAGCGGCCCAUCCUGAUGACACAGUGCAGGUUCUGAACUGGACCUGGUGAACAUCACUGAUGAGCAAUCCCGCUGAGCAUGGGAAGAGAAGGGAUCUUAAUCCGAGCACCUUGCUUAGCACUGGUGACCUCCUCCAGGACGUGGAAGAAAAAAAGGAGAGCGCGGCAGCCCGGGAUCCCCUCUGGCCCUUUGCACUGCUGUCUUCUAAUCCGUGUGCAUCCUGGUGGUCAUCAGUUUGAUCCGUUCGGCCUUCACGUGAUUUUCAAGGACAA